UUACACUUCGCCUUUUCUCUUCUUUCUCUAAAAGAAUGGGGGAAAAGGAGGGAGAGGGAGGGGUUAAAAUGCAGUUAAUAAAUACAGUUGAAAAUCUAUUCCACAUACUGUACAAGUCAAUGUGUUUCUGAAAAAAAGGUGUCAGUGGUGACAUGUGAAAAAGGACAAACAGAAGGUGGAGCAGUUUGAAAAUAAUGUUAACGUCGACCUGGAGAUGGACGGUGAGGUGGAGGCAGCUGAUUGACUGUCCUGAAGGGAGCAGCCAAAAGAAGGAGGACAGGAAAAGGAAAAAAAAAGAAGACCGGGAAAUAGCAGCUUCCAGUACAAAUACUGAGAAGGUGUGACUGAUGGUUUAACAGGAAGUGCCCAACCACAAACACCUCGCAAACAUCCCAUCAAAAAAAAAAAAAAAAAAA